CAUAUCAACCAAAUUACUCAUACGCAGGGCUUCAGCCGAUUCCAGGGCCCAGACACAGAGAUGCUGUUAACAACGUUGGUGGGUAAGGUGUAAUAAUUCAAAAACUGUCUAGACUUUCACCGAGACAAAGACAAAGCAGUGCAAAGCAGGGGGGUACUGAUCCAUCUAGCAUCUCGACAGUGUGUUUAUGCUCUCUGAGGUUCUGGUGUGCCAUUCUGCUUAAAGUCGUUAAACGUCGCAGACACCCGAACAAUUUUUAGAACUUUACGAGCAGCAGGCAAGAACAGUGGCAACAUCAGUGGCAGUGCCGGCGGCAGCUAGAUUUUAGUUUUUGCAUUUAUUGACGCAAUCGAUUCGAAAUUUCGAUGGUAUGGGAUGGAUUAUACUGGGCCUUUGUACAUGCCCCACAUGUAAACAAUCCACCAGCAGUAAAGAAAUAUUUAUAUCGCUGCAAACAACAACAGCCGAGAGUUCCUAAUUACACGAAAUCGCAUCCAUUCAUCUUCGUGGAAAUAAUAAACCCAAUAAAGUAAAAUCAACGGAUAACCUAGAUAUUUAGAUCAGAAAAUAAUAAAUUCUACAUGAUAUAUGAUGUUGAUCUGUGGUCCAGGAGUGAGCCGGUGUCGAGCCCUGUCAGCGGUGAAAAGUCGCUGGGGGGCCCUGACCCAUGACAAAUGAAAAUUAUAUUGACAAAUGGCUUAUUUGUUGCCCUGCUUUGUCGGUUGAAGGAGAGACGGGGAAAAACCCGACGCCCAGAACCAACAACAGCAAGAACAGCAGCAGAAAUUAUAUAUAUUUUUGAAAUACUCAUACGUUUGUGUGUAUGAAAUGCCGACAAGCUUAGAAGCAAAAUUCCAAACGAUUUUUGUUAAAUAUAGAAAGUCCCCCUUCUGGGUGGAGGAGAUAUGGCGGACGGCUAUAUCUGCACACACAUGCGCAUAUUUGAGUGUAUGCAUGUACUCUAGUGUAUAAAGAGCUAAUGAGCGAUGUGGUUCGACGACAUAAUUGAUGGCUUGAUAGAUGCUCGAAUGAAUCCGCAUCUGUCUUGGGGACAGGUUGAUUCAUACUUAAGUAAUUGACUUCUGGGGUUAAAAGCACCAUCAAUCGGAUCAAAUCUGGUAAAACGGGGUUCUCACGUCACAAGGAUGCUAGUAGAUUUUCCUCAUAGAACUAUGGGAAAUUGGGGAGAUCUUUGAUUACAUUUUGGCAGCUUAGAAUAUUAUUGGAAAAUCAUACUCCGCGGAAAUUAUCUUCCUUCGUGUCUAUAAUAAAUACCACAGCGGUGUUCCUAUCUGGAAAAUUGGAAUUACCAAAGGUAUUCUUUCUAUAACCGUCAUCCCCGAAGAGCCUGAAAUUUUUCGCAGGAUAUCAAACAGUGAGUGGGCUGAGAGACGGGGGGAACAAAAUGAACAACAUUGUUGAUAAAUCUGAUGGAACCCUGCUCAGGUAUUCAGCAAUUUGGAACAAGCUGUCAGCCCAAGAUAUUGCCCGUAGAUUUGGGUGAACCAGUGUGGGUGUACAAAUACAUUUAUCUAUGAGCCAUAUUUAUGGAUGUGUGCACAGCGAAAUAUUUGCAAAUUGACUUCAGCAGAGCGUAGCGGUGGCAACAACAAAACCUUCGUUGUAGUACGGCCUCAAACGGUGUGCUUUGUGCAAAUCAAAUUUAUAACGCCCCCCAACGCCAGAAAAAAAGCCCAUCUACAACAAUGACAAUCGACGCCUGCCUGCCAGUGCUGCCAUCUGUUUGGGUCGAUGGAAUGCACUGCACAUGGCGUGAAAGCUCACGGCACCAUCAUCGGAGUGGGAGAGCAAGAACCAGAGCCAGAGGAGCUUUCCUGGCCAAACACAAUCAGCUGUGCUCUGCAAAUUUUGCUGCGUAAUUUUAUUUCUAAGAGCAAACAAACAUAUGAGACCCCAUUCAUUUCCUUCCCCCGUCAACCCCUUACACUUUAAUGUACGUGUUUGCAUGUGGAAACAGCAUUAGUAGCGAGACAACAAAGCACAGCUGUGUGCGCGAGAUCUUUGUAAAUUGGCGCGCGCGCUCUCUCUUCACUUCUCUCGCACUCGCACUCUAUCCUCUCGCUCUCGCUCUUCCUAUGGAUGGCUUAUUUAUUGCGCACCGUUCAAGCUGUCGGCAAAGUGAAACGCCAUUGAGUGGUUACGGUAACCUCAGCGACUGAUACACAUGUAAUCCUAUAUGAGAGCCAAGGGCAAAUAAAUUUAGAAGUACCUAUGAAUAUUUGCAGUACGCCCCAUUUGCAAUUGCGACUGUCAAUCAAAAUCAACGACGAGAAGUAGCGUGCAACCUGUCACUUGUACGGGGUACCUACUUUGGCAUGACCAUUGACUUUAUAACUGGUGUUCGGAGCAGAACCCAGCCGAUUAGCUGCUUGCCAAAUAGCACCUAAUUCUUGA